UACGGAGGGGGCUAGCGUUAUUCGGAUUUAUUGGGCGUAAAGGGUGCGUAGGCGGAUUGGUAAGUUAGGAGUGAAAUCCCGGGGCUCAACCUCGGAACUGCUUUUAAAACUAUCAGUCUAGAGUUUAGUAGGGGGCGACGGAAUUCCUAGUGUAGAGGUAAAAUUCUUAGAUAUUAGGAGGAACACCGAUGGCGAAGGCGGUCGCUUGGGCUAUAACUGACGCUGAGGCACGAAAGCGUGGGGAGCAAACAGG
rnacentral:rRNA from 1 species